rnacentral:rRNA from 1 species
CGACCGGUAACAUUUCUAGCUUGCUAGAAGAUGACGAGUGGCGGACGGGUGAGUAAUGCUUGGGAACUUGCCUUUGCGAGGGGGAUAACAGUUGGAAACGACUGCUAAUACCGCAUAAUGUCUUCGGACCAAACGGGGCUUUUAGCUCCGGCGCAAAGAGAGGCCCAAGUGAGAUUAGCUAGUUGGUAAGGUAACGGCUUACCAAGGCGACAAUCUCUAGCUGUUCUGAGAGGAAAAUCAGCCACACUGGGACUGAAACACGGCCCAAACUCCUACGGGAGGCAGCAGUGGGGAAUAUUGCACAAUGGGGGAAACCCUGAUGCAGCCAUGCCGCGUGUGUGAAGAAGGCCUUCGGGUUGUAAAGCACUUUCAGUUGUGAGGAAAAGUUAGUAGUUAAUACCUGCUAGCCGUGACGUUAACAACAGAAAAAGCACCGGCUAACUCCGUGCCAGCAGCCGCGGUAAUACGGAGGGUGCGAGCGUUAAUCGGAAUUACUGGGCGUAAAGCGCACGCAGGCGGUUUGUUAAGCUAGAUGUGAAAGCCCCGGGCUCAACCUGGGAUGGUCAUUUAGAACUGGCAGACUAGAGUCUUGGAGAGGGGAGUGGAAUUCCAGGUGUAGCGGUGAAAUGCGUAGAUAUCUGGAGGAACAUCAGUGGCGAAGGCGACUCCCUGGCCAAAGACUGACGCUCAUGUGCGAAAGUGUGGGUAGCGAACAGGAUUAGAUACCCUGGUAGUCCACACCGUAAACGCUGUCUACUAGCUGUGUGUGCCUUUAAGGCGUGCGUAGCGAAGCUAACGCGCUAAGUAGACCGCCUGGGGAGUACCGGCCGCAAGGUUAAAACUCAAAUGAAAUUGACGGGG